GUAGGUGGCAAGCGUUGUCCGGAAUUAUUGGGCGUAAAGCGCGCGCAGGCGGUCCUUUAAGUCUGAUGUGAAAGCCCACGGCUCAACCGUGGAGGGUCAUUGGAAACUGGGGGACUUGAGUACAGAAGAGGAAAGCGGAAUUCCAAGUGUAGCGGUGAAAUGCGUAGAGAUUUGGAGGAACACCAGUGGCGAAGGCGGCUUUCUGGUCUGUAACUGACGCUGAGGCGCGAAAGCGUGGGGAGCAAACAGGAUUAGAUACCCUGGUAGUCCACGCCGUAAACGAUGAGUGCUAAGUGUUAGGGGGGUUUCCGCCCCCCUUAGUGCUGCAGCUAACGCAUUAAGCACUCCGCCUGGGAGUACGGCCGCAAGGCUG
rnacentral:rRNA from 1 species